UGCGUAGGUGGUAUGGCAAGUCAGAAGUGAAAACCCAGGGCUUAACUCUGGGACUGCUUUUGAAACUGUCAGACUAGAGUGCAGGAGAGGUAAGCGGAAUUCCUAGUGUAGCGGUGAAAUGCGUAGAUAUUAGGAGGAACAUCAGUGGCGAAGGCGGCUUACUGGACUGAAACUGACACUGAGGCACGAAAGCGUGGGAGCAAACA
rnacentral:rRNA from 1 species